UCAAGCAAUUCUCCUGCCUCAGCCUCCUGAGUAGCUGGGACUACAGGCGCCUGCCACCAUGCUCUGCUAAUUUUUGUAUUUUUAGUAGAGACAGGGUUUCACCAUGUUGGCAAGGCUGGUCUUGAACUCCUGACCUCAGGUGAUCUGCCUGCCUUUGGCUUCCCAAAGUGCUGGGAUCCAAAAUAGUUUUAAUUAACUUUGACUGAGGAAUAGAUAUCACCUAGUUGGUUUUUUUUUUUUUUUUGGAAGGAAAAAAGUGAUACCAAAAUAUCUUAACACUUAUAAGGAGUCAAAAGUCCAAAACCAUUUAGAAAUUAAUUGAUUUUUUAAAAGCCUUAAGUGGCUGAGUGCGGUGGCUCAUGCCUUUAAUCCCAGCCCUUUGGGAGACUGAGGUGGGCAGAUCACCGGAGGUCAGGUGUUCCAGACCAGCCUGUCUAACAUGGCAAAACCCUGUCUCUACUAAAAAAUACAAAAAUUAGCCCGGUGUGGUAGAGCACAACUGUAGUCCCAGCUACUCAGGAGGUGCACGCCAACAUGUCCGGUGGAAGGAUGGCUUGAGCCUAGGAAUUUGAUGCUGCAGCAAGCUGUGAUACUGUGCCACUGUACUCCAGCUGGGGUACAGAGAGACACUACCUCUAAAUAAAUAACCUUAAGUGUUUUUUCCAAAGAUAUUGCUUAUGACUUUCAAAAGAGAUAUACAGAGUGGUGGCUGCAGUGGCUCAAGCCUAUAAUCCUAGCACCUUAGAAGGCUGAGGCAGGUGAUCACUUGAAGUCCAGAGUUUGAGGCCAGCCUGGCCAACAUGGUAAAACCCCAUCUCUACUAAAAAUACAAAAAUUAGCCAGGUGUGGUGGUAGGCGCCUGUAAUCCCAGCUACUUGGGAGGCUGAGGCUGGAGAAUCUCUUGAACCCAGGAGGCGGAGGCUGCACUGAGCAGAGAUCGUACCACUGUACUCCAGCCUGGGUAACGUAGUGAGACUCUGACUCAAAAAAGGGGUAUAGUCACUUAAAUUUGUGUAGAUCAGGCACUAUUAGCACAGUUUUCCAGAUAGUACUGAUUACUUAAACAUGUCAAAAUAAUUAUUACUAGUAGUUGAGUCCUUACUUUUCUAAGCACUUUAUAUUUAUUUAGUCCUCUCAAAUACAAGGUAGAUUCUAUCAUAUUCCCCAUUUUAUAGGGGGGAACUGAAGUAUAGAGAUUAUGCAACUUCCAAGCAGCUGGGCCUCAAAGAUUAAGAUGCUCUAGAAAUCAUGAUUUGUAAAAUGAAUAAGAAGUUUGGCAAGUCAGAGACCCACAGGCCAUAUCUCUUUUCCUCCUCCUGCUACUUUUACUCCAAGUAACUCAGAUAAUUAUUCCUGAAAAUCUUUCUUCACACCCUGAUAAAAAUCCCCAGUUUAGAUGGAAUUCAUAGCCCAAUAUCCCUUUCUCCCUCCCUGUACCACCUCAGCACUGAAGCAAGAUUAAUUAAACAUCUUUUUUUUUUCUUGAGUCUUACUCUGUAGCCCAGGCUGGUGCAGUGGUGUGAUCCUGGCUCACUGCAGCCUCAACCUCCUGGCCUCAAGCAAUCUUCCCACCUCAGGAUGAGUAGCCGUCACUACAGGCAGCACCACCAUGCCCGACUAAUUUUUGUAUUUUUUUGUAGAGAUGGGAUUUUGCUCUAUUGCCCAGGUUGGUCAAAAAUCAUUUUCAGUUCCUGUAUCAGGGAACUUUUUAAAAAAAUUAGUGAUUUUUUCCUCCUUACCAUGUUAAUUUUCUGCAACUCAAACAAAGGCUGAAGUAUCCUUUUAGAUUCUACUAAGCUUGCACAUUUGCCCAAAAAAAGUGUGGGUGGAGCUGUUUAUAGUCAUUCCAGGUUCCUCUCCAGGUUUGCUGGUCAUUUGACAACCUAAGCAACCAUGUUUUUACUAGUUGUAGGUGUGUAGCUGCAGGAGCAGCAGCAGAAAAAUUCUAUAUCCUGAACAAAUUCUGUCAACUGAACCCCAUUUCUCUCAAUUUAACCAAAUGAUAUUGUUACUGUUCCUGAAAAUAUUAAUUAAGACUUGAAAUAAUCUGCCCUUCAAAAGCUGGUAGGUAAAAAUCCAAAAACUUGGCAGCACUCUAAUCCAUCAGCAAUGCUGGGGUGAAAACAUUUAGUACAUAGAGGGCAAAUUAAAAAUACAUAUAUGCCUUUUUGCAGAGCAAUUCCACCUGUGGAAACUGAGAUGAGACAUAUUUAAAUAUACAAGGAAAGAUGUACAUCCAAGGAUAAUCAUUCAAGCACUAGAGUACAAAAGAAACUCAAUGUCCCUAAACUGGGUGAUAACCAAAUAAUGUGCAGUGGUUAAGAAAAAAUGUCGCCUUUUUGCACUGAGAUGGAAAAGCCAUCUCAAGUCCAAUGUGCAGAAGGGUUUGUACGGUAUUUUCUCCUACAUAAAAAUGGGGGAGGGGGAAUAAGAACAUUUAUUCUCACAUAUGUAUGUAUGAAAAAAUGUGUAUGUGGAAAAAUAUACAAGAGGCUGGGCACUGUGAUUCAUGCCUGUAACUCCACUUUGGGAGGCCGAGGCAAGCGAUCACCUGAGGUCAGGAGUUCAAGACCAGCCUGGCCAACAUGGUGAAACCCCGUCUCUACUAAAAAUAUAAAAAUUAGCCGGGCGUGGUAGCACGCGCCUGUAGUCCCAGCUACAUGGGAGGCUGAGGCAGGAGAAUUGCUUGAACUCGGGAGACGGAGGUUGCAGUGACCCAAUAUCACGCCACUGCACCCCAGCCUGGGCGACAGAUCGAGACUAUGUCUCAAAAAAAAAAAAAAAAAAAAAAAAGAAAGAAAGAAUAUGCAAGAAACAAAAAGUAGAGGUUACUUCAGUAGUGAUAACUGGAUGGGUGGAAGUGAUGAUUAAAAAAUUUUUUUUGAACCAGUGAAUGCCUUAUCUAUUCAAAUAAUUUUUAAAAAUUGGCUAGAAGCUCUAAUCAACCAACCAACAACUAUUAAAUGCCUGCUUGUCUUAAAAUAGAGUCUACAGGCUAGGUAGCCCAAAUGCAACCUUAACUCUGAGAUACAAAAUAUAAGGUUGAAUGAGUGGCUGUGCCUAAACAAUUUCUGGAAAUCAAAGUUCUUGGUGCCUCUGGGGAAUUCUGAUAUCAGUGACUUGGCCAAAGAAUUUCACUUGCUUACUGGUGGUCUUCUCUAGAACUCACGAGCAGGGAGACAAAUGGAGAUAGGGUGAGAUGCUCACCCAACAAAGUGAAAAAUUUUCAGCAGUGUGUCUGCCAAAAAUCCACACAUUAUUCAUCUGCAAACCUAAAAACAGGUAGGAAGGAACCAGUAAUUGUUUUAUGGUACAGAAUUUUUAAAAAAUUUUCUUUAAUGUUAUAAUGCUAUUUGUAUGGUAAAUGAGUUUAAUAAAUCUGAUAAGAAAAAGUCUUCCUCAUUGAUUACAGUAGUUUAUACAUUUUAAGGAGAUACUGAUGCUUUUCAAAAGGCAUGUGUUCAUCACCAGGAUAAGUUAUCUUUCAUUCCAAGUAUUAAUGACCUUUGAUUGGCAAAACCAUAUUGAUCUUUUCUCUUAGAAUUUCAGGUGACUAAAACUGCACUGUAAACACAGUGAACAAAAUUAAAUAACACUGCAGUGUUUCCCAAUGUGCAGGAUCCAUACCACUGGUGAUAAUCAACAUAGGCAGUACAUGAACAAAGCAGUAAAUAACAUUGAAUCACACAGCAAGAAAGUUAUUCCUGUUUACAGGCCAGGCGUGGUGGCUAAUGUCUGUAAUCCCAACACUUUGGGAGGUCAAGGUGGGUGUCUCGCUUGAGCUCAGGAGUUCAAGACUAGCCUGGGCAACAUGGCAAAACCCCAUCUCUACCAGAAAUACACAGAAUUAGCCAGGCAUGGUGGCUGCGCUUGUAGUUCUAGCUGCUAAGGAGGCUGAGGUGGGAGAAUCACCUGAGCAUGGGAAAUCCAGGCUGCAGUGAGCUGAGAUCUUGCCACUGCACGCCAGCUUGGGCAACAGAGUAAGACCGUGUCUCAGAGAAAAAAAAAGCUAUUCUUCAUUCAAGCCUUGAGAUUCGAAGUGCUUGGUUGGCAAGAGUAUCUAGAUAGAAUUUAAUAACUGGUUUGUUUUCAUUAUACUAAUUUUUACAUUUACUAUCUUGACUUUUUCCCCCCUUAUUGACAGGCGUUUACAUUUGUCUGGAUUACCCACAUUCACAGACGCGUUAAGACAGGAGUGCAGGUGCUGCUAUGUUAUGGGAACCCCUUAGUCAAAAAACACAAAAAUCCAAUGGUCUUUUCCCAGGGCUUAUCUUUACUUGAGCUAAAUUCUCCCCAUGGUCUUCUGUAACACACACUUAGCCUCUCCAGGAAUGGUGUAGUACACAGAAUAAACUGGAGUCAAGCUGGUUUUGAAUGCUGGUUCUUUUUACUGCUUUUUGAGUCUACAAAGCCAGUCUAUCAAGUGAGGCUAAAAUUGGCUACCUUGGAAAUGGAAAGGAAUAAAUGAGAUAGUAAAUGUAGAGCAGCUGCCAUACAGUUUAACAGAUGCUCAAUAAAUGCUGAUUUGCUUUCCUCCUUCGCUUCUCCUUCUCUGUCCUUCAGUACUUUUCUCAAUAUUCUCUCUCACUGGUUUCCUUCACUCUCAUGGCUUUAUUACCCUUCUAUGGAUGGGUAACUUCUAAUUUUCUAUCACCAAUUCUGACCUUUUUUCAGAGUACCAAACCUUAGCUUUUGUGUGUUUAAUAAUUCUACCUUGAUAUUCUGGCAUCAUCUUAAACUCAAUCCAUACAAAAUUUCUCUUUCUACAAAAAACUUGAAGGCAGUGGGGGUAAGGUGAGAGAGUCACAGGAGUUGGAGUGAGGAGCCACAAGUUCUUUUUUUUUGUCCACAUCAUGGGAUUUUUUUUUAUAAGUUCACUGGUUUUUAGUCUAUGUUCUAUCUACUCUAAUCACCUGAACAUGUUUCCUAGCUUAAUUUCAUGUUUUUCGUCUGUGAUGGAGUGAUAAAAUGAACAUUUUCUGUUUAUAACUUUUUGCAAGCUUAAAAAAUGCCAUAUAAAAUUGCUAUUGACAUCUGAUUCAACAUGGUGGGAUGAGGGAAGGAGUUAAGGAUGAGAUUUUGAGCCUGAGUUCUGCAGUGUCUUUUGCACCUGUCUCGCCUUUCCUUCACCAUUGUCAUUCCCCAGAAUUCAGGCCUACCUUAUCUUUCACAUUUGUGAUGCAUUUACAGAAAAAUUGGCUCAGUCAGGGAAGUAAUAGUUGGUAGUGUGUAUCCAGCAUUGCUCACGAGUUUUAAAAAUAACCAUGAAAUAUAUAAUAUACAUACUGAAAGUACAUUUUUCUCCAAAAAACCUACUUCUCAUUAAGUCAUAGAGUGCUAACACUCAUGUAAUCCCAGUGUCUUAGAAUGUUCGGCUUAUUUGGCUCACGGUUUUGCAGGCUGUACAAGAAGCAUGGUAGCAGUAUCUGCUUCCAGUGAGGGCUUCAGGCUGCUCACGGUGGAAGGCAGACAGGAGAUGACAUAUGCAGAGAUCACAUGGCGAGAGAAAGGAGAGAGGAGGUGCCAGUCUCUUAAUGAACUCACUCCUUACAGAAUACGAAGCCACUCAUGAGAAAUCCACUCCCACAACCCUUCCCACCAGGCCUCACCUCCAACACUGGGGAUGAAAUUUUAACAUGAGACUUGGUAGGGUCAGACAAACCAAACUCAAGCCAUAGCACCCUACUUAGGAACAGAACAUCAACAGCACUCCAGAAGCACCUAUUACCUCCCAAGCACUACUCCCUGCAAAGCUAACUAUUUCUUUUCUUUAUACUUUUACUACCUAAACAUAUAUCCCUAAAUCUAGAUUGGUUUGCCUGUUUGUUGAACUUCCCAUUUUCCAAAGUGGUUAUACCAAUAUACAUUUCCAGCAGCUGUGUAGUUUCAGUUACUCCAACUCUUGACCAACAUCUGGCAUUUUCUGGGUUUUCCAUUUUAGCCAUUCUGUUGGAUGUGAGAUUAAAAUAUCAUUUAGGUUUUAAUUUGCAUUUCUCUAAUGAUUAAAUUAGUUGAGUAUCUUUUACAUGUUUAUCGGCCAUCUACACGCCCCUUUUAUAUUUUUUAAGAAACUAAUAUUUAGAUACCCUUUUUUGUGAGGUGACUGUUUAAGUUUCUACCUUUUUUUUUUUUUUUUUUUUUGAGAUGGAGUCUUGCUUUGUCGCCCAGGCUGGAGUGCAGUGGCACGAUCUUGGCUCACUGCAACUUCUGCCUCCUGGGUUCAAGCAAUUCUCC
rnacentral:lncRNA from 1 species